AGAGAGAGACAUGCGCGCAUAUCAAUAAGCGGAGGAAAAGAAACUAACAAGGAUUCCCUUAGUAACGGCGAGUGAAGCGGGAAGAGCUCAAAUUUGAAAUCUUCAAGGUUUUACCUUGACGAAUUGUAGUUUAAAGAAGUGUUUUUCUGCUGAAGUUUUGGUAAAAGUUCUUUGGAAUAGGACAUCAUAGAGGGUGAGAAUCCCGUAUUUGACCAUUAUUUUCAGCUUUGUGAUACACUUUCAAAGAGUCGGAUUGUUUGGGAAUGCAGUCCAAAAUGGGUGGUAAAUUUCAUCUAAAGCUAAAUAUUGGCGAGAGACCGAUAGCGAACAAGUACCGUGAGGGAAAGAUGAAAAGAACUUUGAAAAGAGAGUUAAACAGUACGUGAAAUUGUCCAAAAGGGAAGCGUUUGACACCAGUGUUGUUUUCUCGAAAAUCAAUUAAAAAUGGCUCGAUUUUGUAUUGCUGAGACCUUAAAAGCUCACUGUACAUUUUUCGUGUCUUUUUUAAUGCACUUUUCGUUUAACAAGUCAACAUCAGUUUCUUUUGUUGUAAAAGGGUCAUUGGAAGGUGGCUUUCUUUUCGGAGAAAGUGUUUAUAGCCUUUGGCCUCUGCAAUCGGAAGAGACUGAGGUCUGCAGCGUAGACUCUUCGGGGUUAGAUACAUUUGUGCUAAGUUAUAGCUUUUUAUCAGACAACUUGUUGACUAUAAUUAGUCUUGUAGCUUACUCGCUUAUGCUAUUUUACCUACGCUUAGGAUGUUGAAGAUGUAGCACAUCAU
rnacentral:rRNA from 1 species